AGACACUGUUCUAUAUUAAGCAAAAUAUGACAGAGUAUAAAAGGAAGUACUAUUACUUCAUUCAGACAUAACACAAUUUUUGUGCAAAUUUAAUCCUUAUUUUCACUUGAUUCCACAAAAACAAAUCCAAAUCCGAAAAUGGGUGCUGAAAAAGUAACAAUGAACAUCGUUGUUGUCGGACAAGUCCAAUCUGCCAAGGCCAUCAAAUCGAUCGCUAAAUCCACCCCAGCCACCAGCCAGUUGUUGAAAUGUUAAUUCAUGACAUCCACAUCAAUCUCAAAUUCAAAAAUGCCAUAGCCCAAAC